CUGGCAACGAUGAAGAACGCAGCGAAAUGCGAUAAGUAAUGCGAAUUGCAGAAUUCCGUGAGUCAUCGAAUCUUUGAACGCACAUUGCGCCCCUCGGCAUUCCGGGGGGCACGCCUGUCCGAGCGCCAUUUCAACCCUCAAGCCCCGCUUGGUGUUGGGCGGGGUCCACCGCGGACCCCCCCGAAAUCGGUAGGCGCCGCCGCCCGGCCCACCGCGUAGCAAGCCAACGCGAGCGCGGGAGGCCCCGCGGCGGCCGCCCUUGGACCCUCAAAGGUUGGCCUCGGAUCAGGCGGGGAUACCCGCUGAACUUAAGCAUAUCAAUAAGCGGAGGAAAAGAAACCAACCGGGAUUGCCCCAGUAACGGCGAGUGAAGCGGCAACAGCUCAAAUUUGAAAUCUGGCUCUCUAGGGCCCGAGUUGUAAUUUGCAGAGGAUGCUUCGGUGAAGGCCCCGGCGGAAGUUCCCUGGAACGGGACGCCUCAGAGGGUGAGAGCCCCGUCCGGCCGCGGCCCCAGCCACGUGUUGCUCCUUCGACGAGUCGAGUUGUUUGGGAAUGCAGCUCUAAACGGGUGGUAAAUUCCAUCUAAAGCUAAAU
rnacentral:rRNA from 1 species